GAGAUCCCAUCAGUGCAGCCCUUCAGGGUCCAGGAAGGUGGUAGGUACGCCUCCGGCUUCUCUUCAAACACAGGGCAGAGUGAGAAGAAAGAAGAUGGGCCAUGUACUUUUGCGUCAUUAAGUUCCUUGGAGGAACCAGCAAGGCUGGGCGGGCGGCGGAGGAGUGGAGGGGCUGAGGGGCAUAUAUGACACAACACACCGCAGGAAGCACAAGUUAAAGGUGACGGACGGUGGCAGCCAAAACCUGGGGAUCUUGGGCAAGGCACUGAGUGGAGAGCGCAUGCCCUUGCUUGGAAGAAGCCUGGCUCCGAGCCCACGUUUGAGGGCAGGACCCUGCGGUCCCGGGCGUUUGCACAUCCCGCGUGAGCAAACUAAGAAAACGGGACGCGCAAGGCGUGCGGCGGGAACUUGGCUCGUCUUUCCUAACGCACGUGGCAUCUCGCGACGUGGAGUUAAAGCGCGCGGCCGCCGCCCGAGACGCGAGCGCUAGGACCCCGCGCGCCGCGCGCACUUCCUCCCGCCGCGGUCCGAGCCGCCCGCGCGGGGCCCGCGGCUCCCGCCCUCCGGCCGGCGCCGCCCUACCUGGCGAAGCAGUACUCGCAGUGGUUGCCCCUCUCGUUGACCUGAUUUUUUUUCCUGUCUCAUUGAGAAAGAUUUCCAACAGCUGAGAAAACCAUAGCAUAGCUACCGAGUUGUCUUCCCAGAGUUGAAGAACUGAUACUGAAGCCUCAACACAUCUGUUCACAGUCAUGACUGACAAGGAGCAGAGCCAAUCUGAUCCUGGCCCCGGCUGCUCUUGUCUCCUCCCAAGAUGAUCAGAGAAGUUGAAGUUGCUCUUUGGAUAUUCAAGUAACACUGAGAAUUUGGGUUCAAGGAAGUUAAACAGACUCUAAUGUGUUUCUAUGGAAAAAUGAAAAUUCCUGUGGCCAGGAUUCUCACCUGUCCCUGGUUGGCUAGCUCACUACACAGGUGUGGGCAAUACUUCAUUAUUGACUCUAUAUAAAAGAGCUCUGCGGGCGACACAGUUGUAUGGCUGCAAGGCUGCAGGAGAGCAGAGGCUGGAGUGGUGGCAGCACCGAGGACAGAGGCCCAGAGGACAGCUGUGUGGGCAGAGGGGCCCAGAGGCAGAGACCAGCUUGCUGUAUGCAGACUGGCUCUGAGUGAAUGAGAUUUGAGUGACUGACCUGCCACUAUGGAAACGAACUUGAGUAUAACCCUUUCACCCCAAGAACGUUCUACUGUCAUUUACUUGGACACGCCAAGUCCAUAGUGAACUUGCCUGGGGCUGAAACCCAUUGGCAAGACAAUGGGCAACAGUCGGCAGGGUUCAUUGGUGACAAAAGAACAGGUUUCCCUCAUGGGAGGAGUGUUUCAGCUGGCUGCACCUGUGGGUGGGGAGGCACUUGAAUGUCCCCCUGGACAUGUGGUACUGGGAAGGGGUGGAGGGCUGGGAUCCACCCCAAGAGAAAGCUGCCUGAAAUGGCGUCACUAUGAAGUGCUGUGGUCCGAGAAGAAGCAGCACGAGAAGCAGCAUCACACAGGCUGCCAGGUGCUGUGGGGCAGGUGGGGGAUGCAGUGGAGCCGUCAGCCCCAGAAAUGAAGGAGCGGAGGUCUGACGAACAAGUGGGGUGGAGGCCCUGCCAGUGCCGGAGGCAUCGGCCCCACCUCGGUGGAGACCCUGCCUGGUUGAAAGCUGGUGGAAAGCCAGAAGGACUCAGCAACCAUGGGUUCUUCCAGGAGAGGUGCAGCCCCCUCCUCAGGCUGUGGAGCCCUCCAUGCUCUGCUUCUACGCUCAGGCUCAAGCACAAAAGGAAAUACAGUCUGCUUCUCGAAGGAAGAAUUUAAAGGGUCCUGUGAAGGCCGCGAGAACCCAGAUGUGGGUUGGUUUGAAAAGGCAGGAGCAGACAGAAAGAAAUUGGACUUGAUCUGUGGCAGUUAAGACCGGAGCAGCGGUUCUGGCUGCUGAGGAUGAAGCAGAAGGCAGAGAUAAAGCAACAAGAUCGGCCUGUGUGUCUGCAAGACUUUCUGCUGGAGAGGCUGGAGAAGGUGGGUAUUGUCAGGCCCACCCUUAGUCCUUUUGGUUAACUCCUUGGAGUAGAAUUGGUUUGAAUACAGCCAGGAUGACCACUUGGUGGCAGUGGAUCUCCUCAGGCUUGAGGGUUAUUAUAAUUUUUUAGAACUGGUUUGAAUAUGCAAUGGAUCUCCUCAGGUUUGAGGGUUAUCAUAAUUUGUUGUAAUUUUUGUUAUUUGUAUAUUGUCGUAGCCUCUGUUGUUCUGGAAUUUGGUCACAAUGCUUCUGCUUUCUCGCACAAGGACCAUUGUAGAGGAUUGAGGGCACAUAGAUUGAGAGGAGAGAAUCCUGGAGGGGUGCGGUAUGGAUAAAAUGAAAGUUCCUAUGGCCAGGAUUCUCACCUGGCCCUGGUUGGCUAGCUCACUACACAGGUGUGGGCAAUACGUUGUUAUUGACUCUAUAAAGAGCUCUUCCCAGUGCUCUGGGCGACACAGUAGCAUGGCUGCAGGAGAGCAGAGCAGAGGCUGGAGUGGUGGCAGUGCCGAGAACAGAGGCCCAGAGGCAGAGACCGGCUUGCUGCAUGCAGACUGGCUCUGAGUGGAUGGGAUUUUAGUAAUUGACCUGCCACUAUGGAAAUAAAGGACUGAAAAUAUCUCAGGAAUUAUGUAGAGGAAGACAUGUUUUAGGCAUUUCAGAAGAACACAUCUUUGAUCUAAAUGGCCAGAUUAACUUCCAGAGACCUGGGAUCAUAAUAAUUCACUUAAAGGUCCCCCCCAGCCACUGUUACUUUAGUUCUGGUUUUAUCACAUUGGGAUUUUGCCUAUAUCAGUUUUUUCCAGGAGGUGAUAAAUGAAAACCUUAAAAAAAGAAAUCCUGUGAGUAAGUUUCUUUGCCCUUACAUUUGAACUGAAUAAUAAAGAAACGGUAAAUUCUUUCUGAGCUGAGCUAGAAAUGCUACCAUAUAGAAAUCUUAAUAAUAUACUCUGUGCAUGCCAUUUAAAAACAGAAGAACUUGGUCGCCCAAGGUCAUUUCAGAUGCCUUUUUUUCUAAGCGAUUUGUGUAUAUUUUAUCCAUAAAAGACAAAUUAUUAUGAAAGGACAUGAAAUAUAGGUUUAAGAAACCUAAAGAACAAAGUGCAUUCUUUGCUCUUUGAAUUUCUUAAUAUUAAGUUCUUAAGACUCCUGCGGCUUACCUUCAAACAAGCAACCUUGAAACUACUCCACAAGACCUGGUUAAAGGACAAACCAAAGAGUUUUCACUUAUUAAAAAAAAAAAUAGCACACGGGAGGGAGAACGUUCAAGUCUUCCAGUAUCCAUACUUAUUAACUGAAUUGAAUGCCUGUGGUGAGUCUCCUGGGAGCACACGGUAGCAGCCUCUUUAUAUUACAGCUCAGCCAGAAGCAUUUAUUCCCUUGUAAUUAAGGCCAAGGGCGCAACCAGUGAUGCGAAUGGAAGCAAUUAUGUGGAUUAUUCAGUUCCCUCAGCGUUUCUCAGGAGUUUAUAUGUUUGUGGCUUUGCUUGUUUGAAAUUCCUGCAUAUCCCUGGAUUCUCUGGGUCCUUGAGGUCCAGCCUCGGAUUAUAACAAUAGCUAAUACUUACACAGCACUUACUAUAUGCAGUGACUGUCUGGGUGUCUUUAGAUAUAAUAUCCUUUCGAAACUCUGCAGGGGUUAAGCAUGAAGUGCAAAGACCCCUGAGAUGAGGUUCAAAUGCAAGGAGUUCGUCCCUGAAGUGGUCCUAGGAGUGGCUUGUAUGCACUGGGAAAGCAGGAAAGAAAGGAAGUUGGGCAGAGGAAGGGUGCUUCUCAGGCCCCAGGCCCUUGGGGGCAGCCUCAGCCAGUGCCGCAGGGCACUAUGGGGUGUAGGCUAGGAAAGGCAGUGUAGCUCCUGUCUUGCUGCACAGUUACUGCUUAACAACCAAAGGGUAGCCAGGAAGGCGUGUGUGAUGUGGUGAUGGUGGUGGGGAAUCUAUGAAGGAGAAGAGGUGCUUGCUGAAGGGGGUGGGACAGAAACCUACGUUGGCUGGUACAGAAGCCCUCCGAGAAUCAUGGAUCCUAAUGGCCUCCAACUGAGUUUUGCUCAGUUCGCCUCCACAAAUGUUGAUAACUCAGCUGGCCUUGCUGUUGCUGUGUCCCCUGUUCAGUGCUUGCUUGUACAUGAGAUAGUGUGGAGGAAACACGGAGAAGAGCUCUGGAAUGUUUUCUGUAGUUCAAGGGACUUAUAGAGAUCUACUUCCAGUGUACUUGUUUUGCACCUCACAUCUACAGAUGGCUUUGAGAGCAUCCACUCUGGGCAUGGUCCUGGAUUGUUCCCCGUGGGAGGAGUAUGAAAGGUGAAUGGCAGUGAUUUUAAGGAAGUCCUUGUGAAAUCAAACGAUGGAAGGCUGACACAACGGAUCCAUGUGAGUGGACAGUCACAAACACGUACAAUAUCUGAAUGGACUGAGCUCUUUCAGGGAGAGUCCUCCAAGAUUUGGUUGAAAUUUUAUCCCAAUCUGCUUCCCCCCAGUUGUGCCCUCCCUUGACUCUUGUACUUGAGUGUAGUGCUGUGAGUUUGUAUUUUACUUGCAGGGAAUGCCCUUCUUAGGGAAUGGGCUGCCUUGUGCCACAAGUGUGGGCUUUUCUUCCCAGAGCCUUUGUUGUCAUGAAUGGUUCAGUAAAACUGAUGUUACUGUGAAUUGUGUUAUUUCCUCUGCAUGACCCUUCUGAAAUACUGCUUUUAGCGACUACUCUCAUACCAUUUCAUUGCUCAAGAAAGCACUUGUGAUUUUGGUUAAGUUUCCAAACUUAAAGAUGGUCAUUAUGUUUCCAUCACUUUAUACAUUUAGUUGUAGACCAAAAAAUACAGUGCUGCAGGUCAGCAUGAUACCUUUGGUCAGCUGCCUGAAGUCCUGGCUAACCCUGGGAGCUCUGCAGCUGCAGGAGUAUGAAGCAAGGGAAUUCCCCUGAAGGCAAGAUGAAGCCCAUCUGGCCUUCCUCUGUCCCGUACCUGGCCCAGUGCCUUGCACAUAGUAGAUGCUCAAUAAAUAUUUGUACAAUGAAAGAGAGCAAAGAGCAAAUGCAAUGUAAUAAUUCUCUCACAGUCUUUAAAAAUAUUCCUCUGUGCAGCAGCUUCUGACAUAGAUGGUAUUUAACAGACACCCAUUGUACAAGGCUUUGUGUUUCAAAUUUGUUAAUUGAUUCAAUCCUCAUUACCAUCCUGUGAGCUGGCUUACAAAUUCAAAUCUAGCAGUUAGAAUUUUCUCAGCAGACUUGAGUAGAAUAUGUUUGUCCCAAACUUCUAGUCUAGUAUCAGAUUUCAUCUAUGAAAACUCAGGCCUGGUUGGGGCAAAAAUUCCUUGGUAGCUUGACUUCAGCUUCCUGGAUACUCAGCACAUUUCCCUCUUGCAGUUUAACAUCAGCGGCAGUUCUCUGAUAGUCUGAGAAGUGUCUGGCUUCUCUGGUUUCCAUGUACUAUAUUUCAAAGUUAAGAACAUAUAUAUAUUGUAAAAGUAGUAUGUUUUGCAAAACAUUCAACCAACGUAGAAGCAUAUUUAAAUAAAGACAUAAAAUG